rnacentral:rRNA from 1 species
UACGUAGGGGGCAAGCGUUGUCCGGAAUCACUGGGCGUAAAGCGUGCGUAGGCGGUCUUGCAAGUCUGGGGUGAAAGGCCAUGGCUCAACCAUGGAGGUGCCUUGGAAACUGUAGGACUUGAGUGCUGGAGAGGCAAGGGGAAUUCCACGUGUAGCGGUGAAAUGCGUAGAUAUGUGGAGGAAUACCAGUGGCGAAGGCGCCUUGCUGGACAGUGACUGACGCUGAGGCACGAAAGCGUGGGGAGCAAACAGG